GGAGGUACUGCUGUAUAUCUCAUUACCAAACAACACCUUCGGUGAAACUAGUACUACAAUACACAGGGUUGCACAGGGUUUCUUCCAAACAAGUCCUCUAGUUUACAAGUUACACAGGGUUGUAUUGUACAGUUGCCUGCUUCGAGUACACAGCGGCAGUUUUUGGCCUAUAUCAUGCAUGCAUGCAUGCGUCCAUCAACCUGCCGCUACCCAGGGGACAAAUGACAAAUCACUUCGAUCAUGCCGCCUCAAGUUUCAGUCUGGCAGCUGGAAGCAGCAGUUACAGUUUAUGAUGCCCAAGGGCAUGCACGAAUGCCACAAUUCAGGCUUGCAGUAGACUCCAAAUGGGAGAGAACUGGCCAUCCGUCUGUCUAUGCUGCGACCGCAAAUGAACCGCGAACUAGCUGGCGGAGCAGCAAACCAUGACAACCCUGUGUAAGAAAAAAAAUAAA
rnacentral:lncRNA from 7 species